GGAAGAGCAACGAUCCUGGUGGGUCGGCCGGGCUUCAAACCCGGUGGGUGGUGCCAAGCGCUGCCGGGCAGGUUCGACUCCUGUGCUCUUCCGCCA
rnacentral:tRNA from 1 species